rnacentral:rRNA from 1 species
AUUGAACGCUGGCGGCAGGCCUAACACAUGCAAGUCGAGCGGAUGAAGGGAGCUUGCUCCUGGAUUCCGCGGCGGACGGGUGAGUAAUGCCUAGGAGUCUGCCUGGUAGUGGGGGAUAACGUCCGGAAACGGGCGCUAAUACCGCAUACGUCCUGAGGGAGAAAGUGGGGGAUCUUCGGACCUCACGCUAUCAGAUGAGCCUAGGUCGGAUUAGCUAGUUGGUGGGGUAAAGGCCUACCAAGGCGACGAUCCGUAACUGGUCUGAGAGGAUGAUCAGUCACACUGGAACUGAGACACGGUCCAGACUCCUACGGGAGGCAGCAGUGGGGAAUAUUGGACAAUGGGCGAAAGCCUGAUCCAGCCAUGCCGCGUGUGUGAAGAAGGUCUUCGGAUUGUAAAGCACUUUAAGUUGGGAGGAAGGGCAGUAAGUUAAUACCUUGCUGUUUUGACGUUACCAACAGAAUAAGCACCGGCUAACUUCGUG